AGCAGCAAUGAUAUCAGUGAUAUUUCCAACCAAAUGAACUAUUCAGGAUCACUGUUUCGUGACGCUAACUAUGGCAAAGGCUCCCAGGAAAGUUUAUCUAUAAUUAAUCCCUACAUGUUUGAACCUGAGGCGUCAGAUGACGAUGAUUUACUCAGCACAGCAGAUGCUGGUGAUGAGGCUGGUUGGGAGCUCGACACGUCACGAAAGAAAGAACGGCUUUCAAAGCUGUCGUCUGUUAGGACUCCCUGAUUGCAGGCUGGAGGCUAGACAGAACGACGAUAGCUGCGACCCAUCACAAUAAGCAGCCUUCAUAAACCUGUUUGUCGUUGCCGCUUGUCGACAGACCAACACUUUUGGCAUCCCUGAUUCCCCGUGCCUGAUCCCCAGCUGUACAGUCGCCUGAUUGACGCGUGCACGUGCGCUGCCCCGAGCCUCGUGCGCCCUUAAAUAAACGUUACAUACUACACUGAAAAAAAUAACUGGUAGAUUUACUUGAUAAAAUUAUUGAAACAAUUUGCACU